CAGUAGNUAAACUCUACUAUUAAGGG
rnacentral:tRNA from 1 species